UCGGUCUGGUGGCGAGUGGCGAACGGGUGAGUAAUGCAUCGGAACGUGCCCAACUGUGGGGGAUAGCUCGGCGAAAGCCGGAUUAAUACCGCAUACGAUCCACGGAUGAAAGCGGGGGACCUUCGGGCCUCGCGCAGUUGGAGCGGCCGAUGUUAGAUUAGGUAGUUGGUGGGGUAAAGGCUCACCAAGCCGACGAUCUAUAGCUGGUCUGAGAGGACGACCAGCCACACUGGGACUGAGACACGGCCCAGACUCCUACGGGAGGCAGCAGUGGGGAAUUUUGGACAAUGGGCGCAAGCCUGAUCCAGCAAUACCGCGUGCAGGAAGAAGGCCUUCGGGUUGUAAACUGCUUUUGUACGGAACGAAAAGGUCUGGGUUAAUACCCUGGGCUCAUGACGGUACCGUAAGAAUAAGCACCGGCUAACUACGUGCCAGCAGCCGCGGUAAUACGUAGGGUGCAAGCGUUAAUCGGAAUUACUGGGCGUAAAGCGUGCGCAGGCGGUUAUGUAAGACAGGCGUGAAAUCCCCGGGCUCAACCUGGGAAUUGCGCUUGUGACUGCAUAACUAGAGUACGGUAGAGGGGGAUGGAAUUCCGCGUGUAGCAGUGAAAUGCGUAGAUAUGCGGAGGAACACCAAUGGCGAAGGCAGUCCCCUGGACCUGUACUGACGCUCAUGCACGAAAGCGUGGGGAGCAAACAGG
rnacentral:rRNA from 1 species